UUUGCCUGCAGUCAACUGGAGCCAGAACUUCUCAGAGGGAGAUGGGGAGUCCUGGUGGAUGUGUGCCUAUGGCCACCCUCUGCCAGAGCUGCUCCGUGCUUAAAAGCCCCUGGGCUCCAAGUGGGCUGAAGCCCUACCUCUACCUACUCUCCAGGCACAUCCUCCUGCCAGCUCAAACACCCAUGGAAGAAGUGGGGGCUCUGUAGCUAGGAUCCCAGAGGUCUGUAGUGAGAGUGAGCUGUAUAUCAGUCCCUUCAUUCACUCCUUGCCUGGGAGCUGUUGAAGGCCAGGAACUAGCCCUAGCAUUCAGGUACCCCAAUGUUCCCAGCUUCCUCCCUCUUCAGCCUCUGAGUCUGCAUUGCUUCUCCAUCCGCUCCAGGUUCUUGGAUAUUUCCAGAAGAGU
rnacentral:lncRNA from 1 species